rnacentral:rRNA from 1 species
GAUGAACGCUAGCUACAGGCUUAACACAUGCAAGUCGAGGGGCAUCAGGAAGAAAGCUUGCUUUCUUUGCUGGCGACCGGCGCACGGGUGAGUAACACGUAUCCAACCUGCCCUUUACUCGGGAACAGCCUUGCGAAAGCAAGAUUAAUGCCCGAUGUUCCGCGUUUGCUGCAUGGCAAAUUCGGCAAAGAUUUAUUGGUAAAGGAUGGCGAUGCGUCCCAUUAGUUAGUUGGCGGGGUAACGGCCCACCAAGACGACGA